UUCAGAACUGCAGAUAGUACAGCUUUCACAGAAGCAAUGGGAUGUCUGAGCACAAGUGGCUGACUUGGGAGUGACUUUAUGAAGCACUUUUCUGCCUUCCUUAGUCAGAAAAAAAAAAACUGGAAUUCUGCACCUGCAUCAGAAAAGGACCAGACUAAUUCUGCCACCCAAUAGCAAGAAAUUCACACAGCUAGCCGGUCUGAAAUUCUUUGUUUAGGAAUCAUAAUAAAUAUUCCAACCAGAAGACAAAGUUAGCUGAAGACACUUUGACCCAUGCCUGUCACACAGAAGCCGUUGAAGUAUUGUGAGAUCUCCAAGGUUCAGCUGUGCUGAAAAUCAGAAAAUGACUCAGGGAACAAAUGGAAAAGAGAUUCCCUGUGGAUGGUGAAGCCCUCAAGAUGCUGCUGUUUGCAGAUGGUACUGUGCUGAUCACAUCAAGAUAAUGUUGAGAGUCUAUUUACACAAGAGCCUUGAUUCUGCACUCCUCACUCAUGGAAAGCCACUGGAAUAAAUGGAGCCUUGCUUACUUAGAACAACUGGGGCUUUCCAAACAAUCCCAGAAAGAAGAUAUUGAUGAUGUGCUCGUUGUGAGUAGAGCAUUGGAAAACCCUCUUGA